rnacentral:rRNA from 1 species
GUUAAAGGUACCCGUACCGCAAACCGACACAGGUGGGUGAGGAGAGUAUCCUAAGGCCAGCGAGAGAACUGUUGUUAAGGAACUCGGCAAAAUGACCCCGUAACUUAGGGAUAAGGGGUGCCACCAUUAGGUGGCCGCAGAGAAUAGGCCCAAGCGACUGUUUACCAAAAACAUAGGUUUCUGCUAAGUCGCAAGACGAUGUAUAGGAGCUGACGCCUGCCC